GCAGCAUCCCUGGAGCUGCUACUGUUAUCUGAAACACAACAAGGGCCAGGAUAGGGGAACAGAUCUAAAGAGGAAAGAAGAGAUAAACAGGGGGAAUCCUUUGGAAGCAUCCAGGGGUCUGGUUGCUUUGUGUGGAGUGGAGCAGGAGGUUCUGCCUGGAGAGUGUGUUCUGGUGUGCUCAAUGCAUUCCCAAUGCUUCAGCAGAUCUCAGUCCAGAGAGAGCCAACCUGCGGCUGUUGUGACACAACAAGACAACUCUCCACAUUCCUUUGUUGUUUCCUCUUGGCUGAAACCAUGGAUACGACUAUGGCCAAGACAACCGCUAGCUUUCUCUCCACUGUCUCUAGCGCCUAGCGCCUCCAUGACCACCCUUCUCACCGUUACAACGGACGCCAGGAUGGAACGGGACAACGUCACCGAGUCCAGGACAACACUCAUGGUCACUAGCAUUACUAUAACAACAACCAACGAGACAAGUUUCAACGCCACCAAGCUGCCAGAGUUGGCGCUAGAGGGCUCUGAGAUGGGCAUGGUGCUGGUGCCCUUUGGCAUCAUCACUGUAAUUGGCCUGGCAUUGGUCGUGAUAAGAAAGCAAUCACUUUAGUCAUUACCUAGUUUCCAUGCCCACAAAAUAUGUAUGUUUGUCACGACAGUGUACAGUAUGAAUAAGUAGAUUUUUCUCCUCUUAUCUAAUUAACAAUGAUCUGUGUGUCUCCCUGUGCCCCACCAUGUCUCCCACUCCCAGAUGCUGUAUAUCAGGAAACGGAAGAGACUGGAGAAGCUGAGGCACCAGCUGAUGCCCAUGUAUAACUUUGACCCGGCAGAGGAACAGGAUGACCUGGAACAGGAACGACUGGACAACAACCUCACAGGACCGAAUAACAAGGUAGUAUACGACACAGGUCUGUAGCAGUGCCGCGGCUGCACUCCCCUGUUCAGUGAUACUGAUAAUCUACUGUAGAUCUAUGAUGAUACAUUUACAUUUGAGUCAUUUAGCAGACGCUCUUA